GACGAACGCUGGCGGCGUGCUUAACACAUGCAAGUCGAACGGAAAGGCCCUGCUUUUGUGGGGUGCUCGAGUGGCGAACGGGUGAGUAACACGUGAGUAACCUGCCCUUGACUUUGGGAUAACUUCAGGAAACUGGGGCUAAUACCGGAUAGGAGCUCCUGCUGCAUGGGGGGGGUUGGAAAGUUUCGGCGGUUGGGGAUGGACUCGCGGCUUAUCAGCUUGUUGGUGGGGUAGUGGCUUACCAAGGCUUUGACGGGUAGCCGGCCUGAGAGGGUGACCGGCCACAUUGGGACUGAGAUACGGCCCAGACUCCUACGGGAGGCAGCGGUGGGGAAUAUUGCACAAUGGGCGGAAGCCUGAUGCAGCAACGCCGCGUGCGGGAUGACGGCCUUCGGGUUGUAAACCGCUUUCGCCUGUGACGAAGCGUGAGUGACGGUAAUGGGUAAAGAAGCCCCGGCUAACUACGUG
rnacentral:rRNA from 1 species